rnacentral:rRNA from 1 species
CGGGGAUCCUCUUCGGAGGCGUGCACACAGGUGCUGCAUGGCUGUCGUCAGCUCGUGUCGUGAGAUGUUGGGUUAAGUCCCGCAACGAGCGCAACCCACGUCCUUAGUUGCCAUCAUUCAGUUGGGCACUCUAGGGAGACUGCCGGUGAUAAGCCGCGAGGAAGGUGUGGAUGACGUCAAGUCCUCAUGGCCCUUACGGGAUGGGCUACACACGUGCUACAAUGGCGGUGACAGUGGGACGCGAAACCGCGAGGUUGAGCAAAUCCCCAAAAGCCGUCUCAGUUCGGAUUGCACUCUGCAACUNGGGUGCAAAAAGGCGG